rnacentral:rRNA from 1 species
AUGACAAUAAAUAAAAGUCAAGGGCAAACUUUAUCUAAGAUUUGUGUGUAUUUGAGGAAUCCGGUUUUUUCACAUGGACAAUUGUAUGUAGCCGUCUCGCGUGUUACGUCCCGCAAGGGUCUAAAAUUCUUAAUUGAAGAUGAGAACGGAGAACAUUCACCAAUCACAAGGAACGUACAUACUGAUUUAUGCUAG